UCUGCUGAAAAGAAUAUCAUUGAAGGACAGCUUGAGACAAGCAGUAUGGACCAGAAGAAAAACCAUAGAUCCUGAUGUGUCAUAACAGAUUAAUGGCCCAUCAAGAAAUUUUUGUCCAUCGUAUCCACCUUCUAAACUGAUGGAGAAAUCUUGUUUUCAGUCGAGAGAGCUUGGAAUGCAAAAACAUAUCCCACAGUAGGCCUAGAAGAUGAGCUGCCUUCCAGCCAGGAUCACUUAGCCUUGCUGAUGCAGCCCGCUUUAGAAGCAGCAAUCUGGUGACCUCUGUAGAUAGCAGGCUACGGCAAAAACAUGGGUGGACCUGCAGUGAUAAAGCACCAUGAAGGGACUGUAAACGACUCCGUGCAGCCUUCAGGAAAGACUUCCACGGACUUCUAGAUGCAGGAGGCUGGCACUUUGGAUUGCAGCAUUACUGAAAUGAAAAGCGUGAACGCUACAGGAAUUUCUGCCGCAUGGAAAAAUGUUAUUUUUGGAUUCUUCAGGAAGGUGUGCCCAUAAAACCACUGGUUCCCUGCGCCCGGUGUGCCAGCAACCAGGUCCCGGCUGCCGCCGCCGAACGGCCCGACCCUCCAGACUGCCGAGCUCCCGGGGGACGAGCGAAAGCUCAGGCCUAGAAAAUCAGCCCCCGCCGUAUCGUACUGGUUACGAUUCAGUUGCCUCCUCCCCGAAAAGCGCACUUGAAGCGGGCUGUAGCAGAUCAGAGGAGAAGAGUACGACGCAUGACAGCUCAUGCCCUGCCGUAUCAGCUGGAAACGCUGCGGAGGUGAAGCGCUUCCAGGUGUGGGUACGAGCGCCGGCCCCGAAUGCCUGCAGGCGGAGGACCCUGGUGCACGCCGCGAGCGGGGACGCCCUGGUUUCAUGGGCAGUCGCUGCGGCAGCGACGGUCAACGCUGGACUUUCCAAGACGAAAGGAAACUCGUUUUGCCGCUGUUACCCAUAACUGUCCCUCUGCACACCCAGGAAACACCUGAUAGGGAUUUUCCUCUAUUCUUCGCUCUACUUCUGUUCACUCUUUUCAAGCACACUAGGCGCCUACGGUGGGAACUGGGAGAUGCUGUUUGAGAAAUCUCUGCGUUUGUAGCCUUGGACGUUAAAAGCAACUAGAAACGUACAGCAGCACUUUUUAUCUUCUAUCAGGGAAAUUACUUGCAGGGCUCAUCCUCUUGAGCCAGCCUCAAAAAAAUAAAAGCACUGGCAAAUCAUAGCCAGCACACAAAACAUGGCUAACAAAAUCCCGUUUCCAAGGCUCACCCUGCCUAUCCUUCCCAAAGCAAAAUGCACAUUUCCUAAAACCUACCCAGAGAAGGGCCAGGCAAAAAGUUUUGCAUUACCUAAAAUUUGUUGGUUGAAAUAUCAUUUUUAUUAUCUUUUAUUUUUUUAGCUGGUCAUCAGCCAGGAA